rnacentral:tRNA from 1 species
GCGGCGGUGGCGUUGCCGGGCGCGGCGACGGUGGUGCUGCCGCUGCUGUCGGCGCGGGACGUUGGGCUUGAGCGGGCGGUUCCGGCCGUUGCGGCUGCU